CUUGGUGACGUAAUCCGCAGCCUACUGGACAGGCGUGUAUCUACAGCCGGGGAUGCUGGAGACAGUGCUGCGGGCUUCGGCGCGCAUGCGCUUAGGGCUGCUGGCGCUGGGCUGGAGGAGAGCUGCUCCAGGGAGCGCGGUGUGCGAGGGAGUGAGGAGGAGUGGCAGCAGGCAGCAUUCCCGACAGACUACAAUCCUCUUGGGGAGUGAAGGUCCCACUCUUUGAUGGUUCUCUGGAGAAUCCACUUACAGGUACUGGAAGCGGAACAGGAAGGAAUAAACUAAAGAUCGUAAGCAAUUUGAGGGCAAGGACUGUCUUUUUUGCAGAACAUUGUACAGUGCCUAGCACCACGGGUUCCAAUCUUCGAUUAAGGCCACUAGGUGCUGCUGCAAUACGAUUAUUAAACAACGACAAUUGCUACAUGCUUCACAUACUGGGACGAGAACUAGAUGAAGAAUAUGAAUCAGCCUGAAAUGUUGUUCUGCUCUGAGCUGUGACUCAGUAAACUGCUACUGGGGAAG